CAUGACUCCAUCUCCAAAAUGCUCCUCUACCCCCCUCUCUCUCCACGGCGGGCCGGCUGCCUCGGCGGCCCGGUAGUCUGCCUGCCCGAGUGCCGCCCCCUCAAGAUGCCGCGCCAGAUGCUCGCCAUCGUCAACGCGAAAGCCAGGUCCGAUCUAGGGGUAGGGCUCUCGAUUUUUGUCUCAAUGUUGUUCCAGGGGAUAGGAUUGGGCCUUUCCAGAUCUGUGGGGACGAAGAUUGCAGGAAGAGGGCCGAGAAUGCGCAGGUCGCUCGCGGAGUCGCGGUGCUUUUGGGGGAAAAGAGUUGGAUCUUUGCUGAAGCUCGCAGAGGCAUUGAGCUCCCAUCGAUUGAUCCAUCAUUUAGAUCUCUUUCAUUGGCUUAACUCGCGCUGUAUUGCAUGGUCGCACCAGAAGUCGCAGAGAAUGACUGGGAGGUUUUCAGAAGUUCUUUAUCUGCUUUGGCUGUUAGAAAUACCAAACUAAAGGUACUUAGUUUACUUACUGAACCAUAUGUUUAGUAUGACAAUUUUGGAUUUCAUAACCCACAAGCGUGUAAUCCGGCUUGUGCAUCUUGCUGAUCUUUUCUCUCUGCAUGUCUCUCCUAAUGCUAGGCUAAAUUGAAAGAAGUUGAAAGUCAGGCAGAUCUUAGUAAAAGAAACAUGGAUCACCAGAACUGUGCAAAACAAUGAUGGACUGACUUGUUUUCACUGACCUAGACUUUAUCUAAAAGACUCUUGGAGACUUGUUGGCUGUUUGCAUGAGUUGUGUCUUGCUGUAAAUAUGAAUAGAGAAUAAAUCAAUGAAUUAGGUUUGCUUUCUAUGAUUCCUAAAACAUAUGUCUAGGAAGAAUUCUGCAUUUGGGAAAUGUUAAAGUGGACUAUAGCAUCCAUUUACUACCAAUUUAUCACUCUAUUCUUCAA